GAAUAUUGGGCAAUGGAGGAGACUCUGACCCAGCCAUGCCGCGUGAAGGAAGAAGGCUUUCUGAGUUGUAAACUUCUUUUAUCUGAGAAAAAACGAUCCCUGCGGGGAGCAUUGAUGGUAUCAGAUGAAUAAGCACCGGCUAACUCCGUGCCAGCAGCCGCGGUAAUACGGAGGGUGCAAGCGUUGUCCGGAUUUAUUGGGUUUAAAGGGUGCGUAGGUGGCCUUGUAAGUCAGUGUUUAAAGUCUUCAGCUUAACUGGAGGAGUGGCAUUGAUACUGCGAGGCUUGAGUAAAGUUGAGGUAGGCGGAAUUGAAGGUGUAGCGGUGAAAUGCAUAGAUAUCUUCAAGAACACCGAUUGCGAAGGCAGCUUACUAAGCUUUAACUGACACUGAGGCACGAAAGCGUGGGGAUCAAACAG
rnacentral:rRNA from 1 species